GAUACUGUAGCUUAAUGGUAGCCCUGGGAGCUGUUAACUCUCAAAGUGUAGGUUCGAGUCCUGCCAGUAUCGCAA
rnacentral:tRNA from 1 species